AUUUAGAGGCCAAGAUAGACAGCAGGAAACACCUGUGUCUUCUGCACUUAUCCAUCUUGCAUCCUGAGGCAGUUCUUCCAGUAACUGCAGUAAAGACAUCUUCAAAUACAAAAACUGUUCAGACUCAGUCCCGUGGAAUUGAUCUUCAAUGUAUCCAUGAGAGGAGCCUUUUUUAUACCAGACGUGUCAGUGGGAAAAUGACCUGGAGCCAUUCUGUUAGGCUUCUGUUUAUGAUCAGUUUGAUAUUACAGACCAUCCCCAUGGGAAACAGCUGUCAUACAGGGAAAUAUAAAAUUAGUAGAGAAGAAAGCAGCAGUGGUAAAGCUCAGAAGUUCCAGCAGAAAACACUCAACUGGACCUUGAAUAAUUUAAGGGAGGAGAAUGACAGCACAGAGGGCU